GUCAGACGGGAAGUGGUGUUUCCAGUGGCAGACGGGUGAGUAACGCGUAAGAACCUGCCCUUAGGAGGGUACAACAGUUGGAAACGACUGCUAAUACCCCGUAGGCUGAGGAGCAAAAAGAGGAAUUUGCCCAAUGUGGGGCUCACGUCUGAUUAGCUAGUUGGUGAGGCAAUAGCUUACCUUCCUAGCAUAGUCUCAUAGGUAGUUUACCAUUUCCAAACAUUUAACGAAU
rfam:Gossypium raimondii Chr12_contig_421, whole genome shotgun sequence.